AGCUGAGAGAAAUGGGCCUGGUUUUCAGACUGCCCACAGGGACCAGGAUCGCUGUGUAUUCAUUUAUGUGAGCCAUGAGCCCUAGCCCCUCAUCGUGACAGGGGUGCUCUCACAGCCAAGGCUUCCCUGAGUGUCAUGGUCCCGGCCUCGCUGUGAGCCUGUGAUGUGUGGUAACUCAUUGACCUGACCACAGGUCUCUCUCAUCUCUUACCUUUCAGGAAACAGCAAAUCCAAAGUUUCUUCUCAGUUUGAUCCAAAUAAACAGACCCCGUCUGGCAAGAAAUGCAUUGCAGCCAAAAAAAUUAAACAGUCGGUGGGAAACAAAAGCAUGUCCUUUCCAACUGGAAAGUCAGACAGAGGCUUCAGGUACAACUGGCCACAGAGAUAGUCCUGGAAGACACGUGGCGCCUGUGGACCGGAA
rnacentral:sRNA from 1 species